UUUUUUUUUUUUUUUUUUUUUUUUUUUUUUCACCUUUUCUUGUUUAGUGAUGAGGUCGGAGAGGUUUUGGGGCCCUCCGUCCUGGACCCCCGCCGCCCGCCCUGGGUUGGUUUUCCUGUUUUUUGCUUUUUUGUUUUAGGGUUGUCGGGAGCCGACCCUUAGAGGGGGGGUACUGUCACGGACCCUGCUCUGGAGGACUCGGGGGUCCGUGAGCAGGAUGAAUUAUUAUUAUUAUUAUUAUUAUUAUUGUUGUUGUUGUUAUUUGGGGAUGUGUGUUUUUCUGCACUAUGCUGUUCCGUGUUCCACUCAUUUGUAUAGGCAGGGUGUGUAUGUGUGUGGUCUGCGGGUGUGGCUGGAGGAUAGAGGACAGCCGCAUGCAGGCCUGAUGGGUGUGGCCCUGCAGGAGGACUGGCCACACCUGAAGUUCCUGCCACACACCUGUUGGUGAUCAGUGCUCGUCGGGGGAGCUACUUAGGAGAGUGGAGCUUCCACCGGCGCGGGAUCAUUGAGUUAGCAUAUCGAGUUAGUGUGUGUCAGCAUAUGUCAGUGCUGUUUGUGUAUGCCCGCCGAGGGUUAGUGUUGACGGCUGAUUCUAUGGUUUUCCUGCAGGAGGAAGAGUGGUCCAGAGAGGCAGCACGCACGGGGGUGCGGAAACACAACCGCGGGGAGCACGAGCACAGACAUCGGAGGGAAGCACGCACACGGGUUCAAGGGAGCAACGGGGAGUCAUUGUGUUUACAGUUUUUCACUGUAAAUAAAGAGCACUGUUUGCAUCGCAGAGACUGCGUUUUGGGUCCUCCUUUCCCCACAUCCCCACGGUCUGCCUGGCGGACCGUGACAAGUGAUUAAAAAAUAAAACAGAAACACAUACCCCAGCAGACAAGGUCUCACAGCUGCAAAGAGAGUAUGAACAGCUCCUCCUCCUCAGAAACAUAAAGUUGGGGGUGAAGAUGAGGCCUGUUUCACUCUCUCACUGUCGGCCAUGAUAUUACAACUGAACCAAACAGCUGCUCUUCAUUCAGCUGUUAGUGAUGCUGCGUGUCUUUGCAGUGAAGCUUGAAGAAAACAACAGAGUUAUGUUGGCAUUCAGAGGAGAUCCAGUGACGCUGACUUGUAACAUAUCUGAGAAAAAUGCAUCACAUAUCUCCUGGACAAACAGCAGAUCUGUUUUUCAAUAUGCUAUUGAGACGAAUCGCACCCAUUCAAAUUUCUCAUCGAACAAACUUAAAAUAAAUCCCGAGUUACCUAUAAAUCUGAUUAUUUUUAG
ensembl:lncRNA